rnacentral:rRNA from 1 species
AACCUCCGCAAUGUGAGAAAUCGCGACGGGGGGAUCCCAAGUGCCAUUCUUAACGGGAUGGCUUUUCAUUAGUGUAAAGAGCUUUUGGAAUAAGGGCUGGGCAAGACCGGUGCCAGCCGCCGCGGUAACACCGGCAGCUCUAGUGGUAGCAGUUUUUAUUGGGCCUAAAGCGUCCGUAGCCGGUUUAAUAAGUCUCUGGUGAAAUCCUGUAGCUUAACUGUGGGAAUUGCUGGAGAUACUAUUAGACUUGAGACCGGGAGAGGUUAGAGGUACUCCCAGGGUAGAGGUGAAAUUCUGUAAUCCUGGGAGGACCGCCUGUUGCGAAGGCGUCUAACUGGAACGGUUCUGACGGUGAGGGACGAAAGUUAGGGGCGCGAACCGGAUUAGAUACCCGGGUAGUCCUAACCGUAAACGAUGCGGACUUGGUGUUGGGGUGGCUUUGAGCUGCUCCAGUGCCGAAGGGAAGCUGUUAAGUCCGCCGCCUGGGAAGUACGGUCGCAAGACUGAAACUUAAAAGAAUU